rnacentral:lncRNA from 1 species
UUAUAUUUGUUGGAUAUUGAACCUUAGGAUAGAAAACAUGUUUAUGUCUGCCUAGGAAUUUUUCUGGUUGUUUUGCAGGUCAGGGUUUGGGUGCAUUGCGUUCUCCCUUCACACACACAUAUUACGCAUCUAUUGAGUGAGGCCCUAUACCCGGGUCUGAGUGUAUUUUCACACCUAGUUGAUUACUUGAUUGUUGUGGAAAUGCUGUGGAGGGGGCCAUAGCUCUAGUGACCAUUGAUCUUUAGGCUCAGGGAACCAUCCUUGUGAGAUUGCAUAUACUUAACCUUGAACCUGAAGCGUUGAAUCUUUUUUAGGGCACAAAGGGAGAUGUGUGCAGUCUUCUAACCCUCAUCUUUGCUUUAUAAAAUCACGGAUCUUGUGCAUAUCUUGAGUCACUUUUCUUUCUUGCGCAUCAUCAAACUCUUGUUUUUCGAAAAUAGCAAAAAAAAUUUAAAUCAAAAAUAAAAAUUGUAGUGUCAGACUUUUCCGAGGUCAAGUGUCUAAUAAAAAUAACAAUUUGACGUUUCCUUUUUAGACCUUUGUGCACAUGUUGUUUGAAAACCCUCACCCUUCACUUUUCCAAAAUAAAGCAUCUUCCCCAAAACAAACACUGUUAUUGCCCUCAGUAACAAAAUAAACCUUUACUCUGGGGUAAUUCGGUCUGGCCAAAAGAUUUCUCGCUUGCGCUAGUAAGGUGAUCCCUGAA